UAAUUUCAAAGUAAUAGAAUUCUACAAAUAUUUGGUGGCAAAUUUAGAUCAGGGUUUUAGUUGGUCUUAUUUGAAUUUAAACCACAUCUAGCAGAAAUCAUACACAAUUGGCCAAGAAGUUUGUCUAAUUGUAAGGGGGUGGCACAACCAUCAAGCAUGACAAAGUGGCAUCUCCCGACCUCUUUUAGGUACUCCAAAAUGGCCCUUUCAGGGAGUUGAUAUCUUUUCAAUACAUUUCUCAUGGUAAUGACAAUAUCAAGUGGUGAGUAACCCCCAAUAAAAAGUUCUUCAACAAUGGAGUGAGCUAAUCUCCAGUUACAUUUAACACAAGAGUCCAAAAUACUCUUAAUUUUCUCAGGAGAGGGAAUGUCGGAGACUUUGAGUACAUUAUCUCUAGAAACCAUAGAAAAUCCAUG
rnacentral:sRNA from 1 species